GACGAACGCUGGCGGCGUGCCUAAUACAUGCAAGUCGAACGCAGUGGGGACGGGUGAGUAACACGUGGGUAACCUCCCAUCAGAGGGGAUAACACUUGGAAACAGGUGCUAAACCGAUACUGAUGGAUGGACCCGCGGUGCAUUAGCUAGUUGGUGAGGUAACGGAUCACCAAGGACACGAUGCAUAGCGGACCUGAGAGGGUGAUCGGGCGGCAUGCGACUGAAACACGGCCCAGGCUCAUACGUGAGGCAACAGUAGGGAAUAUUCGGGAAUGGACGAAAGUCUGACCGAACGACGCCGAGUGGGUGAAGAGGGUUGUCGGAUCGUAAGGCUCAGUUGUUAGAGAAGCGGUAUCUAACCAGAGAGCCACGGCUAACUACGUGCCAGCAGCCGCGGUAAUAC
rnacentral:rRNA from 1 species